UGGGGAAUCUUGGACAAUGGGCGCAAGCCUGAUCCAGCCAUGCCGCGUGAGCGAUGAAGGCCUUCGGGUUGUAAAGCUCUUUCGUGGGGGAAGAUAAUGACUGUACCCCAAGAAGAAGCCCCGGCUAACUCCGUGCCAGCAGCCGCGGUAAUACGGAGGGGGCUAGCGUUGUUCGGAAUUACUGGGCGUAAAGCGCACGUAGGCGGACCAGAAAGUCAGGGGUGAAAUCCCGGGGCUCAACCCCGGAACUGCCUUUGAAACUUCUGGUCUUGAGGUCGAGAGAGGUGAGUGGAAUUCCGAGUGUAGAGGUGAAAUUCGUAGAUAUUCGGAGGAACACCAGUGGCGAAGGCGGCUCACUGGCUCGAUACUGACGCUGAGGUGCGAAAGCGUGGGGAGCAAA
rnacentral:rRNA from 1 species